rnacentral:rRNA from 1 species
AACGCUAGCUACAGGCUUAACACAUGCAAGUCGAGGGGCAGCAUUGGAGUAGCAAUACUUCAGAUGGCGACCGGCGCACGGGUGAGUAACACGUAUCCAACCUGCCGCUUACUCGGGGAUAGCCUUUCGAAAGAAAGAUUAAUACCCGAUGGUAUAAAGAGUUCGCAUGUUCUCUUUAUUAAAGAAUUUCGGUAAGCGAUGGGGAUGCGUUCCAUUAGAUAGUUGGCGGGGUAACGGCCCACCAAGUCUACGAUGGAUAGGGGUUCUGAGAGGAAGGUCCCCCACAUUGGAACUGAGACACGGUCCAAACUCCUACGGGAGGCAGCAGUGAGGAAUAUUGGUCAAUGGACGAGAGUCUGAACCAGCCAAGUAGCGUGAAGGAUGACUGCCCUAUGGGUUGUAAACUUCUUUUAUAAGGGAAUAAAGUGAGGGACGUGUCCCUUUUUGUAUGUACCUUAUGAAUAAGGAUCGGCUAACUCCGUGCCAGCAGCCGCGGUAAUACGGAGGAUCCAAGCGUUAUCCGGAUUUAUUGGGUUUAAAGGGAGCGUAGGUUGACAUAUAAGUCAGCUGUGAAAGUUUACGGCUCAACCGUGAAAUUGCAGUUGAUACUGUAUGUCUUGAGUGUACAAGAGGUAGGCGGAAUUCGUGGUGUAGCGGUGAAAUGCUUAGAUAUCACGAAGAACUCCGAUUG